rnacentral:rRNA from 1 species
UACGUAGGUGACAAGCGUUGUCCGGAUUUACUGGGCGUAAAGAGCGCGCAGGCGGUCGUUCAAGUCGAGUGUGAAAGCCCCCGGCUCAACUGGGGAGGGUCACUCGAUACUGAUCGACUCGAAGGCAGGAGAGGGAAGUGGAAUUCCCGGUGUAGUGGUGAAAUUCGUAGAUAUCGGGAGGAACACCGGUGGCGAAGGCGGCGACCUGGGUAGAUACGUGACGCUGAGGUGCGAAAGCGUGGGGAGCAAACAGGG